GGAAAGAUGGCCGCUGUUUUUAUCAAGAAAUAUUUAUCUCAAACACCUCGUUUAAAGCCGGCAUCCUGUAAAAUUCUGUUCUUGGCAUGUUCAGAAUUUGCAUGAAAUCCUUAUCUGAUAAAUACAGCUGGUGAAAAAAAAGAAAUUAAUGCUGUUUACCUAUAAAUUAUGGAAUAUACAGAAGAAGCAGGCCGAAAAAAAUAUACAAAGAGAUGUUUUCAAAACAAAGGUCACAGCAGGGAGAAUAAUUUUGAAAAGUUGAAUUUACGAUAGAAAGAAAAGAAAUUUCUGUUUACUAUUUAACUACUUACAUUUAAAAUUCCAGAAAGCAGUUCAUGGUUUCUAUCAGGUACUGAAAUUCCUGUCCAUAACAAGACCUAAAGCAAAAGGUGUUUCUUACAUAAAACAAGUUUAGGUUGACAGCUAGGCAAGCUCUGGAAAAAUAAAGCACUUUGUAAGUAAAUAUAAUUUAAAAUAAUAAAACUACUUGAAUAAAUAAAUGCAUUUUAAGACCAAAGGGUAUAAACCACAAUUGCUACAUUUUUACUUUCGAGAUAUAUGAACAUUAUGUUUAACAUCUGUUGUUUUUCAAUUGUAGCAUGUUUUUAAAAACCUAACUAUUGUGGGAUUAAGGUGAUUUUUCACUUGGAAAUGAGUAUACAUGAUAGUGCUACAUGAAAAUGCUGCCAACAAGAA